CCUACGGGUGGCUGCAGUGAGGAAUAUUGGUCAAUGGACGCAAGCCUGAACCAGCCAAGCCGCGUGCGGGAAGACGGUUCUAUGGAUUGUAAACUUCUUUUGUACGGGAGUAAACUCAGGUACGUGUAUCUGUCUGACAGUACCGUACGAAUAAGGAUCGGCUAACUCCGUGCCAUCAGCCGCGGUAAUACGUAGGAUCCAAGCGUUAUCCGGAUUUAUUGGGUUUAAAGGGUGCGUAGGCGGUAGGAUAAGUGAGAGGUGAAAUCCCGGGGCUCAACUUCAGAAUUGCCUUUGAUACUGUUCGGCUUGAGUGUAGGUGAGGUAGGCGGAAUGCGUGGUGUAGCGGUGAAAUGCUUAGAGAUCACGCAGAACACCGAUUGCGAAGGCAGCUUACCAAGCUACAACUGACGUUGAGGCACGAAAGCGUGGGGAGCAAACAGGAUUAGAUACCCUUGUAGUC
rnacentral:rRNA from 1 species